GCAAGUCGUGCGAGAAAGUUUUUUCGGAAACGAGUAGAGCGGCGAACGGGUGAGUAACACGUAAAUAACAUGCCCUUAAGUUUGGGACAACCUUGCUAACGCGAGGCUAAUAAUGGCUGUGAACAUUAGAACUCAUGUUCUUUUGUUUAAAGGCCCUUCGGGGUUGCUUAAGGAUGGAUUUGCGGACCAUUAGUUAGUUGGUAAGGUAAUGGCUUACCAAGACGAUGAUGGGUAGCCGACCUGAGAGGGUGAUC
rnacentral:rRNA from 1 species